ACGUGYGUCGCCUUCGUCGUUUUCGGAAAUCGACCGACUUCCGGAACAACGUUUGCUUGCUACUCUGAGAACGUCACAAACCACGAAGGGAGGUGGACGUCGUCGCGUCCUUAAAUGGGUGGAUGGGCACGUCGAACUGGGAGCGCGGCGGCAGUCGCCGCCGUCGCUUCAUUUCGCCAUUGCCCGGCCUCUCGAGCUUUCUGCUCGAUCUCGACCGCACACGCGGCGUAUAGACACGUUUGACUUAUGCCCCGUGCGUACGGACGGACGCCUAAUACUUGCCUAGUUACGACGGCCGUUCGUUCGUUCGGGAAAGCGAUCGUCGAUGAUGAUAUGUGUA
rnacentral:misc_RNA from 1 species